rnacentral:rRNA from 1 species
UUUCCGUAGGGGGUGACCUGCGGAGGGAUCAUUAAAGAGUGUAAUAACUCCCAAACCCAUGUGAACAUACCUCAUGUUGCCUCGGCAGGUCGCGCCUCUCUUGUAGGUCCUACGCGGAAGGCGCGGGUACCCCUGCCGGCGGCCCACGAAACUCUGUCUCAUCGUUGAAUUCUGAACCUAUAACUAAAUAAGUUAAAACUUUCAACAACGGAUCUCUUGGUUCUGGCAUCGAUGAAGAACGCAGCGAAAUGCGAUAAGUAAUGUGAAUUGCAGAAUUCAGUGAAUCAUCGAAUCUUUGAACGCACAUUGCGCCCAUUAGUAUUCUAGUGGGCAUGCCUGUUCGAGCGUCAUUUCAACCCUUAAGCCCUCGUUGCUUAGCGUUGGGAGCCUACGGCACCGUAGCUCCCCAAAGUCAGUGGCGGAGUCGGCUCACACUCUAGACGUAGUAAUUUCUCACCUCGCCUACAGUUGGACCGGUCCCCUGCCGUAAAACGCCCCAGUCUUUAAAAGGUUGACCUCGGAUCAGGUAGGAAUACCCGCUGAACUUAAGCAUAUCAAUAAGCCGGGAGGAAAA